GAACGCUGGCGGCAUGCCUAACACAUGCAAGUCGAACGAGCCCUUCGGGUCUAGUGGCGCACGGGUGCGUAACGCGUGGGAACCUGCCCUUAGGUUCGGAAUAACUCCCCGAAAGGGGUGCUAAUACCGGAUAAUGUCUUCGGACCAAAGAUUUAUCGCCUUUGGAUGGGCCCGCGUUGGAUUAGCUAGUUGGUAGGGUAAAAGCCUACCAAGGCGACGAUCCAUAGCUGGUCUGAGAGGAUGAUCAGCCACACUGGGACUGAGACACGGCCCAGACUCCUACGGGAGGCAGCAGUGGGGAAUAUUGGACAAUGGGCGAAAGCCUGAUCCAGCAAUGCCGCGUGAGUGAUGAAGGCCUUAGGGUUGUAAAGCUCUUUUACCCGGGAUGAUAAUGACAGUACCGGGAGAAUAAGCUCCGGCUAACUCCGUG
rnacentral:rRNA from 1 species